rnacentral:rRNA from 1 species
CCUACGGGAGGCAGCAGUGGGGAAUAUUGGGCAAUGGGCGCAAGCCUGACCCAGCAACGCCGCGUGAAGGAAGAAGGCUUUCGGGUUGUAAACUUCUUUUAUCAGGGACGAAGCAAGUGACGGUACCUGAUGAAUAAGCCACGGCUAACUACGUGCCAGCGGCCGCGGUAAUACGUAGGUGGCAAGCGUUAUCCGGAUGUACUGGGUGUAAAGGGCGUGUAGGCGGGAAAGCAAGUCAUAUGUGAAAACCAUGGGCUCAACCUGUGGCCUGCAUUUGAAACGGUUUUUCUUGAGUACUGGAGAGGCAGACGGAAUGCCUAGUGUAGCGGUGAAAUGCGUAGAUAUUAGGAGGAACACCAGUGGCGAAGGCGGUCUGCUGGACAGCAACUGACGCUGAGGCGCGAAAGCGUGGGGAGCAAACAGGAUUAGAUACCCCAGUAGUC